AGUGCCCAGGGAUGGGAAUCGAACCCACAAUGUUCCGCUUACCGGGCAGAUGCCAUGUCCACUAGACACUAGACAC